rnacentral:rRNA from 1 species
CAAUAGCGUAUAUUAAAGUUGUUGCAGUUAAAAAGCUCGUAGUUGGAUUUCGGGGUGGCCUGCCUGGUCCACCGCAAGGUGAGUACUGGUCAGCCGCCCUUCCUCUCGAAAGCCCCGACUGCUCUUCAUUGCAGUGGUCGGGUAGUUCGGGACGUUUACUUUGAAAAAAUUAGAGUGUUCAAGGCAGGCCGUCGCCUGAAUACAUUAGCAUGGAAUAAUGGAAGAGGACCUCGGUCCUAUUUUGUUGGUUUCUAGGGCCGAAGUAAUGAUUAAGAGGGACAGUCGGGGGCAUUCGUAUUUCAUUGUCAGAGGUGAAAUUCUUGGAUUUACGAAAGAUAAACUUCUGCGAAAGCAUUCGGCAAGGAUGUUUUCAUUGA